UGCUGGAAGGAUGUUUGAAGUAGAGCAGGUACUGAAAAAUGUUUUGUUUGAAAUGGGAUAGGGCAUGUGCCUGAAGCACGUGACUUGUCUUGACAUGAUUUACUUCUGGUUGUCUCUCAUUCUCUUCUUUCUUCUUCUUCUUCAAGACCCAAACCCGUGGGUAUUGUGCAUCUGUACAUAAGUCAUAUUUUGGAAGCUCGGAUCAAAAAACUUCCUUGACGAAAGUUGCUCAUCUGCUCGAGUACUAUAGCCUGUAAAAGUUUCUGAAUUCUUUGAAUUUUUUUGAUGCCUCAAAGCUGGUCUGCAACUUCUGUGUUCAUCCAUGGCUGGUGUAUACAUCUCUGGCACAGGCAGGGGAGGGUGCCGAAAGCCUGCGUUGUAUCCAUUGUCGCUGGAAGCUUCGAGUGUACCAAUUUCGCAACUUGGCAAUUUGGAUUUCUAUCUCGAUUUCUCAGUAAAUAGUUCUGCUCCUUCACUGGAAUCUUGAGUCUUUCCUUUGGCUUUGUAGGCAUAGACAUAGACUGGUGUUUGGCCUAGGCUUGUUUUUCUUGUGAACACACGCUUGAUUAAAUCUGGACUUUUCUCCGAUCUUGUGGAAACAGAAAUUGACAGAAUGCAUGCUCUGCAAUGCUUGAAUCUUUUUGUAUUUUGAGGGAGAAUUUGCUUGUCAUCGGAAUUGCUUGAGAAUUUUGCUUGCCAUGGAUAAAUUGCAUGCUGCUUUGAUAUUUGCUUAAGCCUUUUCUUUGGCGUGAGCUUGACUUGCCAUGCUUGGCGUCUACUUUGCGUGUGCUACGUUCUUGACCACCUUCUUUGAUUGAACUAUAUGCAUUACGAGCGUAUGCUUGUAAUUUGUGAAAGGGUCUGCUGGAAUGACUGAUUGAGCAUGAAAUGGGAACUUUGCUUGUCAUAAGCUCGAGUAAUAGAUUGCAUGAUGCUUCAAAAUAUUUUUUUUUUUGUUUAUGCAUUUCGCUUGGCAUGAGAUGGCUUGCUUUGCUUGGCCUGUGAAGUUCAUAUAGCUUGCAUGCUAGCGUGGAGAUUUCUUGGCUUUAACACAGAGAACCUGCUUCAUACUUUGCCCUUUUACAGCAUAUUCCUCGUUGGUAAUUCUUGCAGGGACUCACAUAAUAAGUCCCAAUGACCUUUGUGAUGAGUGAUGGCCUAUUUCCCCUUGCACGACGGGUUGCAGAAUGGACAACUACCUUCAUAACUUAGAAACACUUACCAAGACUCGAUCAUAAGCACUGAGUAAGCUUAGGAAGCUACUCUCAUUUCCAGGUGUUGUAUAGAAGAAAGACAUGUUUCCGGCGGCCACCUUAUUUUUUAAUACCCUUGCAGCAUCACUAAGGGCUGGCCACAGUGGUUCGAUCGCGAGUUGACAGCCCCGACUACCAAAGAUGUUUUGUCAAGGAACCAUUGUUUUUGACCUUACAGCAGCGUGCUGAAAGGGCUUAAGCGUGUGUCUUAUUAGGAUUUUGCAUGGACUUCCGGCUGAAUACUUAGAAGAAGCACACAUUAAUUUAUUUAUUUUUUUAAGCACGAGCUGCUUGUAACAUGAAGAUGUAUGCAUGAUCCCCUUAAGCAAGAGUUGUCGUUAAUGCGUUAAGCCUUCAGGAACAUGAAUUGGAGAGCCAGUGCCGUAAGCUAUGAGACCUUCUCCUUGACAAAUGAGCGACUGAGAGUGGCGCUUGGUGCAUGGUGGAAACAUCGAAAGGAUCAUUUCAUAGCGCUUCUUCUAUUCUGUUUUAGUUAUGCACCGUGAUCUAAUUGAGGCAGCAUUUCUUUGUUGUAGGGGCUGGCUGGCUCAGUGUGUAGUAGCUUUUCCUUUUGAAACUGCAGGGUGUAUCGAUCUUUAGCAUAGUUGACUGCAUUUGGGCCCGAGUUGUACCCCCUUUUUUUUUGAGAGCCUAAAGCUCAUGUUGUAGGGAACUUGGAACACAACAUUGUUGCAUACUUUCUGUCAGAACUUUUGAUGUAGAAUGCUUGAGAUAUUGAGCUUCGGCCUGUUUUGUA